rnacentral:rRNA from 1 species
GAAUGCUGACAUAAGUAACGAUAAAGCGGGUGAAAAGCCCGCUCGCCGGAAGACCAAGGGUUCCUGUCCAACGUUAAUCGGGGCAGGGUGAGUCGACCCCUAAGGCGAGGCCGAAAGGCGUAGUCGAUGGGAAACGGGUUAAUAUUCCCGUACUUGGUGUUACUGCGAAGGGGGGACGGAGAAGGCUAUGUUGGCCGGGCGACGGUUGUCCCGGUUUAAGCGUGUAGGUGUGUGUUCCAGGUAAAUCCGGUUCACUUUAACACUGAGGCGUGACGACGAGGCACUACGGUGCUGAAGCAACAAAUGCCCUGCUUCCAGGAAAAGCCUCUAAGCAUCAGGUAACAUCAAAUCGUACCCCAAACCGACACAGGUGGUCAGGUAGAGAAUACCAAGGCGCUUGAGAGAACUCGGGUGAAGGAACUAGGCAAAAUGGUGCCGUAACUUCGGGAGAAGGCACGCUGACACGUAGGUGAAGUGAUUUACUCAUGGAGCUGAAGUCAGUCGAAGAUACCAGCUGGCUGCAACUGUUUAUUAAAAACACAGCACUGUGCAAACACGAAAGUGGACGUAUACGGUGUGACGCCUGCCCGGUGCCGGAAGGUUAAUUGAUGGGGUCAGCGCAAGCGAAGCUCCUGAUCGAAGCCCCGGUAAACGGCGGCCGUAACUAUAACGGUCCUAAGGUAGCGAAAUUCCUUGUCGGGUAAGUUCCGACCUGCACGAAUGGCGUAAUGAUGGCCAGGCUGUCUCCACCCGAGACUCAGUGAAAUUGAACUCGCUGUGAAGAUGCAGUGUACCCGCGGCAAGACGGAAAGACCCCGUGAACCUUUACUAUAGCUUGACACUGAACAUUGAGCCUUGAUGUGUAGGAUAGGUGGGAGGCUUUGAAGUGUGGACGCCAGUCUGCAUGGAGCCGACCUUGAAAUACCACCCUUUAAUGUUUGAUGUUCUAACGUGGACCCGUUACCCGGGUUGCGGACAGUGUCUGGUGGGUAGUUUGACUGGGGCGGUCUCCUCCUAAAGAGUAACGGAGGAGCACGAAGGUUGGCUAAUCCUGGUCGGACAUCAGGAGGUUAGUGCAAUGGCAUAAGCCAGCUUGACUGCGAGCGUGACGGCGCGAGCAGGUGCGAAAGCAGGUCAUAGUGAUCCGGUGGUUCUGAAUGGAAGGGCCAUCGCUCAACGGAUAAAAGGUACUCCGGGGAUAACAGGCUGAUACCGCCCAAGAGUUCAUAUCGACGGCGGUGUUUGGCACCUCGAUGUCGGCUCAUCACAUCCUGGGGCUGAAGUAGGUCCCAAGGGUAUGGCUGUUCGCCAUUUAAAGUGGUACGCGAGCUGGGUUUAGAACGUCGUGAGACAGUUCGGUCCCUAUCUGCCGUGGGCGCUGGAGAACUGAGGGGGGCUGCUCCUAGUACGAGAGGACCGGAGUGGACGCAUCACUGGUGUUCGGGUUGUCAUGCCAAUGGCACUGCCCGGUAGCUAAAUGCGGAAGAGAUAAGUGCUGAAAGCAUCUAAGCACGAAACUUGCCCCGAGAUGAGUUCUCCCUGAGACUUAGAGUCUCCUGAAGGAACGUUGAAGACGACGACGUUGAUAGGCCGGGUGUGUAAGCGCAGCGAUGCGUUGAGCUAACCGGUACUAAUGAACCGUGAGGCUUAACC